AGGAUCAUUAUUGAAAUGAACCUGAUAAGUUGCUGCUGGUUCUCUAGGGAGCAUGUGCACGCUUGUCAUCUUUAUAUCUUCACCUGUGCACCUUUUGUAGACCUGAAUAUCUUUCUGAAUGCUUUUUUUAUUUUAGCACUCAGGAUAUGGAAUUGGCUUUGAUGUCUCUUCUUAUAUUUUCAGGUCUAUGUUUCUUCAUAUACCCUAAUGUAUGUUAUAGAAUGUCAUUUAAUGGGCUUUUUAUGCCUUUAAAUCUAUUACAACUUUCAGCAACGGAUCUCUUGGCUCUCGCAUCGAUGAAGAACGCAGCGAAAUGCGAUAAGUAAUGUGAAUUGCAGAAUUCAGUGAAUCAUCGAAUCUUUGAACGCACCUUGCGCUCCUUGGUAUUCCGAGGAGCAUGCCUGUUUGAGUGUCAUUAAUAUUAUCAACCUCUUUGGUUGGAUUUGGGUUUACUGGCCUUGUUGAGGUCAGCUCUCCUUAAAUGCAUUAGCAGACAACAUUUUGUCAACCGUUCAUUGGUGUGAUAAUUAUCUACGCUAUUGAUCGUGAAGGCAGGGUUCAGCUUCUAACAGUCCAUUGGCUUGGACAAAUUUUAUUAAUGUGACCUCAAAUCAGGUAGGACUACCCGCUGAACUUAA
rnacentral:rRNA from 1 species